GCCGCGAUGGUGGAAUUGGUAGACACGCCGGUCUUAGGAACCGGUGCCUUCGGGCAUGGGGGUUCGACUCCCCCUUGCGGCA
rnacentral:tRNA from 1 species